rnacentral:sRNA from 2 species
GUGAACGGGAAAGAAAACGAAAGGUUUGGAGUGCAGAAAAUGACAGAGGCCAUCGACCAGGUUGCGGACUCUGCAAAUAACUUGAAAGAGGAGGCUGCAGCUUUGGCGCGUCAAAAAGGUUGGACAGAGCCUCAACGCUACGAUUAUGACACGUACAAUGCGGAUCCAAAGCCUGGUGAGGGUGCUGGCUUAACCGAUCUCCCUGAGUGGGCUUCCAAUGCCGCGAAGUACGAGUGGAAGGAGGAGUAUGGCGAUGUGGGUCCUCGGAAUGAGGAGCUUGAGAAAAUGCUUUUCCACGAUGAGUACCUGAACCGCGCGGGGAACAAGUUCGAUCGCCUUCGUGAAGUCAAAGUUACGGCAGAAACAACCCAUCAACCCGAUCCUGUGAAGAACUUCGAUGAUGCAGGUUUGCAUCCGGUUAUGCGUGAGAAUAUCAAGCUAUGUGGCUAUAAGGUUCCCACACCAAUUCAAGCGUACGCCA